GGUUCCGCAGAUCAGGAAGGUCGGCCGCGAAAAACGCGGCGCUGCGCCGUCGCGCGCGGAAAACACCGGUUCGACGCCGAGCGGAGCCACC
rnacentral:tRNA from 1 species